rnacentral:rRNA from 1 species
ACGCACGCUGGCGGCAUGCCUCACACAUGCCAGUCGAACGAGACCUUCGGGUCUAGUGGCGCACGGGUGCGUAACGCGUGGGAACCUGCCCUUAGGUUCGGAAUAACUCCCCGAAAGGGGUGCUAAUACCGGAUAAUGUCUUCGGACCAAAGAUUUAUCGCCUUUGGAUGGGCCCGCGUUGGAUUAGCUAGUUGGUAGGGUAAAAGCCUACCAAGGCGACGAUCCAUAGCUGGUCUGAGAGGAUGAUCAGCCACACUGGGACUGAGACACGGCCCAGACUCCUACGGGAGGCAGCAGUGGGGAAUAUUGGACAAUGGGCGAAAGCCUGAUCCAGCAAUGCCGCGUGAGUGAUGAAGGCCUUAGGGUUGUAAAGCUCUUUUACCCGGGAUGAUAAUGACAGUACCGGGAGAAUAAGCUCCGGCUAACUCCGUG